CAUCCGGUCAAUAACCAUUCCGUUGUUGCUUUGAUUGAAGUUUCGUGCUUACUUCGAAAAAGUGGAGAUUUUGAAGGAUAGUUUAUUGGUUGAUUUUACAAAUUAGAGUUAUUAAACACGCUAUGAAUCAUUGCUGACUUUGUAUAUUUUUCAAAGGUAAUCAAUUUACGUGUUGGAAUUCGUGACCUGGUUUCUGGUGAAGGUUAGGAAGGGUUGCAGUCAACAUGGCAGCGGUUGAAGGUCCAGAAGAAGGAGAGUUAGAAACACCUCAAGACGAACUUAACGAAAGUGCUGCCGAAGUCAAUGUUCUCAACGACAUCCUUGGCGAUUCUAUUGGGCAUGACGAAUUCCAAGAAGAGCUUGAAAACACGGAAGUUAAAGAGCCGGAAGCUGCUCCUGUAGAGGAACCUAAGGCAAAACCAACACCUAGAACAACCAGAAGGAAAGGCAAAAAGCCGGUUUCUGGAAAGAAGAAAACCCCCACGAAGCAACCUAAGAAAACUGUGGCAGCAAAACCCACCGAGCAGAAGGAAACAGCAUCUCCUGCUGUCAAGGCAAACGAAACCAAAGUUGCUGACCAGAGUAACGCUGCCACCAGUGCUAACGCAAAAGAAGUUAGUGAGGUCACAAAAUCAGAGGUUUCUGCUGCAAGUGACCCCAAAGAUGAAAAGGCUGGAGAUGCUGCGCCAGUUAGUUCAGAAUCGAAAACUGCUGUUAAGAGCUCUAAAACGACAGUCGUGAAAAAGAAACAGGAGAACAGCAAGAAGGAGGACAAAAAUGCACCAAAAGCUAUCGAAGAAAAGAAACCCAGCUCAACAACCAAAAAGGUUGUAAAAAAGCCAAGUUCCGGUGUACAGAAGGACGGAAAGGAAGCGAAAGCUGAUGCGAAGAAAAUCGAAAAAGUUGAAUCAGAGGUGAAGAAGGAUUUGAAAAAGGAAGCUGAAAAACCUGCUGAAAAACCAGCCGAAAAGCCCGUCGAAAAACCGAAGGAUGAGAAACCUCAAAAGUCUGAAGGCCCGUCGAGCUCCUCUACGACGAAAGUCGCCCCAGCAGUGAAGAAAGUUCCAAAGGAAGUUAAAAGUGACAAAAAUGAGAAGACGAAAGAAUCAAGCGAACACGAUGCUUCUAGCAGAAAGAGGAAGGAGAUUAAAGAGAAAGUACCAAAGCAAGAAGGAGAGCCAAGCAGCAAAAGGCCAAAAGAAAAGGACACCAAAUCGAAGGAUUCCAAACAUAAGGAGAAAGUCGACGGAAAGAGCAUAGAGAAAAAAGAGAAACCAAGGGCCGAAAAAUCAACAAAGAAAGAUGAAAAGAAGGAUAAAAGUCAAGUUAAAGAGAAAUCAAAAGAAGAUGGAAAGGGAGAAGAGAAAGAGUACAAUUUACAGGACAACAAGGAUGACAUGCAAGUGAUCGAUGACGUCGGGGCUAGUGAUGGAAGCGUCCAUCAUGGUGACGAUGACGUCAUAUCUCGACAUUCGGGCUCAGACUUCGAAGACAUGAGCUCAUUUUCGGGAUCAUUUUCCAGAUCGAGGUCCCCUCUAUACCUUGGCUCAAGAAGCAGAUCUGGUUCGGCAGGGUCAUCUGACUCGUUUGAAAGACUUGAAAAAGCGCAAAAAGAAAAGAGAAGAAAGCGAAAGCAAUCGAGUGACCAGGAAGAUGAAGUUGGAGGCGUCAAAAGCAAGAUCUCGCGAACUUUAUCAGAAAGCAACCAAAAAGCCUUGGAAGACUUUCUGAAAGGAUCAAGAUAUUUCAUCAUCAAAAGUAAUAACCAUGAAAACGUCUCGCUUUCAAAGGCCAAGGGAGUGUGGUCAACUCCGCCGGCUAACGAACGAAAGCUGAAUGAUGCAUAUCGACAUGCGACAAACGUAAUUUUGAUAUUCUCAGUGAAAGAAAGCGGCAGAUUUCAGGGAUUUUGUAGAUUAGCCUCUGACUCGCGAAGAGACGGCCCUCAUGUGCCUUGGGUUUUGCCUCCUGGUUUUGACCGUAGAAUCCUCACUGGAGUAUUCAAAGUCGAUUGGCUAAAUAGGCAUGAGUGCCUCUUCGCUAACUGCACCCAUUUGCGAAAUCCUUGGAACGAGAAUAAGGAAAUCAAGAUAUGCAGAGAUGGCCAGGAAGUCGAACCAAGUGUCGGAGAAGCCCUUUGCCGUCUGUUCCCUCCAGAUGUCAAUGUGGACUUGGCAAGGAUACAUAAACGACGCAAAGAAGAGAAAAAAAGCAGCUCUUCAAGGACUUACAAGCAGCUCAGCGUACAAUGUUUUAUUGAACUUUUAAAUUACACAAAUGAGAACUUUUAUCGCAGUCAUAAGUCUUUGAUUACCCUAUUCAAUGCAUUUAACAGAUCAGCUUACAAGCAGUAUAAAGAACUGAACAUUUUCAGGGUUUCACUGUUUUCACAGUUAAAGCCUUUUCCAGGUUUUAUCGAACUGUGAUUCGCAGGAUUUUUGCAGUCAAUCAACACUGUUAUGCGAGGUUUUCAACUGAUUGUUGGUUUAAGCAGUGCUGCUUCAGUCCAUGGGACGGGACUGCACUUACCAGACCAUCUGACUUCGACUUUCCGAAAUUUGCCUACGAACAACACGUGUAUUAAACGAGAAACUGCUGUGAUUCCUCUAAGGAGAUUCGAAUCAGUGAAUUCCCUUCCAAUCAGCCACAUUUAGCCCUAGGGAUCCAUCCUGCUACGUUUACCAAUCAGAGGCAAGCCCCAAAUGAGUCAUUUAGCGAAGGUAAACAAGAAAGCAAAUACAUAAAGUAUUGUACCAACGAAAGGCUGUAACAUAUGAAAGGGAGGCUUGAAAAUGCGUCUUCGUAGUAGUCACAAGCUUGGCAUUCACCUGAAAAAAACAUUUCCCACACGGUUAAGUUUACAAAAAUCACUCUACAUGCAUGGGGUUCACCACAUCUUUCAAGUACACAGUGUGACCAGACAAGCAAUGUCUUUCGAUUUCAAGUUGGAGCAGAAAGUGUCGAAGAUUGAUGUUCUUAAAGUAUCAAAAUUUGUCAGUAAAUUGAAAUCGUCACAAGGAGAUAGACUGGCCAUAUUUGUAUCACCACCUUACUUUAUCAGGUUGCUGCAACAAAUAUUGUCAUCGACAGGGCUGCCUUUAUUCUGGUGAUAUUCCUUUUCAAUAUUUCUUGCCAUUUUCAUUACAACUACGAGGCAGUGCGUUGUUUGAUUUACUUUAUUUCCAAUCAUCUUUGGGUUGAGUGUAUGAUCGUGAGGUAACAGGCACUUAACCUUUCUUUCUACAGCAACGUUCAUUUCCCUGUCCUCGUCUUAAUUUAUUUUGUAUUCAUCUUGAUAACCGUUUGUAUUCAUAUUUUUAGUAUUUUUGUAUUCAUAUUUUUACUUACUAGAGAGUUUUUUUUCGGUGCACAAGCAACUCAAAAGGGUUCCAAACCUUUUUAAGACAAAAGCUUCAUCAGUCAUUGGUUGCAGUUAGCGAACGUUAUCAUCUGCUUGAAAUAGCACGUGUUUUAGUGCAGCCUCUGCACAACAGUAGAAAUUCCAAGAACGUUAGCGUUAUCUCUAAACAGUAACUGGUAACGAGGCAAAUACCCUUACAUGCAGCUAUUUAUGACGCUUUCCCCGUUGUUGCUUUCCCAUUUUUGCCUCCCGUUAAUAUUUAAUUUCUAGUCAUAGAAAUACUUGUUGUAUCCUCGGUGUAAAUCGCUAAUUUUUCUUAUGCAAGCCGCAACCCUGUUGCAUCUAUGUUGUUUUUAAUAGAGAAAAUAUCAUAUUAUAUAGAAUAUUCGUAGAUAGUUUACGGAUCCCACCUCUCCCCAUUAGGUAGUUGUUUAGCAGGACUGCAUUACCUAAGGGUAGUUUUGUCUUCAUUAUACAAGUUAUCUAUAUUGAAAAUGGCUUUGAAAAAAGCAAACAUUAUACAAUAUACUAAAAGCUUUUUCGUCUGACACUCCUCAGAGCAUAAAACGUCUGACACGCCUAUCUUGUUUUAUGCUCUGAGGAGUGUCAGACGAAAAAGCUUUUAGUAUAUUGUAUAAUGUUUGCUUUUUUCAAAGCCAUUUUCAAAUUCUGUACCGCAAAAAAUUGUUCACAUUAUCCAUGUUGGUGAUAUAUCUCAUUGCAAAGUGUCCAUUCGUGAUAUCAUUGAAGAGUUGAAGCUGGUAAAGUUUCGAGUAUAGAUAUUUUAACCUAUACCCAUAUUAAUUCAAUGUUUUUAUGUAUGUUAUAAUGGCUGAUAGCAUUGCAUGCACCUAUCAAGACUGAGCUAAGGAGCUUUUUGAAUCAAGCUUCAGCUGAAACGCCCACUGUAUCCCUCCCCCCAAUGUAUCCCUCCCCCAAUGUACCCCUCCCCCCAUGUACCCCAAUGUACCCCCACCCCCCAAUGUACAGAAAUACUUAUUCAUUUGGUUGUCAUAUCUCAAGUUAUCUAUAGAGUAAUGAGCUUGCUAGGGAUAUGACUUUUUAUAGGACACAUUCUUCGUACUUAUAUAUCUGUUGUUGUGGAAGUCUUCAGUUUUCAUUUUAAGGCAGAAAUGAUGCUUGUUAACUGAUCUAUGGCUUUUCAUAUUGUAUGAAUGCCCCACCCACUUGCAGACGCUUUACCCAAAUUCUUUUCCACCAGAGCCGUACUAACUGCCUUACCUUGGAAGCACAAAAAUUCAUGGACGCCAUGCAUCUGGGCUGUUCUUAAUAACUAUUUCUUUGCAGGUCACGAUCACGCAAUGAAGACACAAGACACCGCGAGCGGCCUGGCCCGUCAUACCAUAGAAGACGUCGGGAUUCUUCUGGACAUCGCCAUAGAAGACACUACGGAGACGAUUUCGAAAGAGAAGGUCGCUCAAAGUAUGGGGUUAAAA